UACGAAGGGUGCAAGCGUUACUCGGAAUUACUGGGCGUAAAGCGUGCGUAGGUGGUGAGUUAAGUCUGUCGUGAAAGCCCCGGGCUCAACCUGGGAAUGGCGAUGGAUACUGGCUCGCUAGAGUCCGGAAGGGGCGAGUGGAAUUCCUGGUGUAGCGGUGAAAUGCGCAGAUAUCAGGAGGAACACCAAUGGCGAAGGCAGCUCGCUGGAACGGUACUGACGCUGAGGCGCGAAAGCGUGGGGAGCGAACAGG
rnacentral:rRNA from 1 species